rnacentral:rRNA from 1 species
CCUACGGGGUGCUGCAGUGGGGAAUAUUGCACAAUGGGGGGAACCCUGAUGCAGCAACGCCGCGUGAAGGAAGACGGUUUUCGGAUUGUAAACUUCUAUCAAUAGGGAAGAAAGAAAUGACGGUACCUAAAUAAGAAGCCCCGGCUAACUACGUGCCAGCAGCCGCGGUAAUACGUAGGGGGCAAGCGUUAUCCGGAUUUACUGGGUGUAAAGGGAGCGUAGACGGCAGCGCAAGUCUGGAGUGAAAUCCCAUGGCUUAACCAUGGAACUGCUUUGGAAACUGUGCAGCUGGAGUGCAGGAGAGGUAAGCGGAAUUCCUAGUGUAGCGGUGAAAUGCGUAGAUAUUAGGAGGAACACCAGUGGCGAAGGCGGCUACUGGACUGUAACUGACGUUGAGGCUCGAAAGCGUGGGGAGCAAACAGGAUUAGAUACCCCUGUAGUC